CAUUUCGCUACACCCGCAAUAACAUCUGCCAAACAGGUGGAAAACACGUUUUAUUUUUUAUUUGGUUUUUGUUGUUAAACUGGAACAGAAUCACCAGCAAAAGUAAAUACCUGUUUGAAAUCAGUCCAACAGGGGACGGUAUUUAGCGGACACUCUGAGGGUGUACCUACAGCCAUGCCUACUACUUAGAUUGAGUUGAGCGCCUCCUGCUCUGCGCUACGCUACCGCCAGACGGACACACAUUCUUCCAUUCAGUCAGUCAGUUGGCUUGUCUGACGCUAAAGUGCAAGUCGACUAUAGUCUCGGGAUUUGUUUUGAGAGAAAGAGCGUUGUUUCUGUACAGCAAGAGAAAACAUGUGUGUAUAUUGGUUAUUUUGAAUGCGCUUGGAAAAAGUUAAAUUAGUCUAUUUUCUUGCAAAAACGCGGACACAAUGUGACAAUGUUGACCAGCAGACUGGGUUAUCCAUGACGGAUUGGUAAAGAGCUGUUCAUUAAUCAAGGAAAAAGGGACGUAGCAAUGGGGAAACUUCAGUCCAAACAUGCGGGCAAACGUAGAGAGAACCCCGAAGGAGACAGUUUUGUUGUGAACGCUUUCCUCCGAAGAGCGAUGGGGGAAUGUGAGAUGUACAGCUCCUCAGAUCACAAACUGAACAACAUUCAGGUAGGAAACGAAACAAUUGUAUUUUUAAAUGUUUUCCUAUGUGCGUUCUCGGAUAAAAUGAUACAAAAGUAAUAAUAAUUAUAAGAAUGUGGCUAAUAAUUAUAAUGAUUUGGAUACUGAAAAUAAUGCUAAUAAUAAUAAUAAUUUGAUAAUAGUCUAUUAUAAAUAAAAUACAUGACUCUUUAACACAGGUUGAGAAGUUUGCAUAUUAGAUGGUCCAUAGAUGGUCUACAGUUGGGAUCAGUUGUGAUUAGAAGUUCCUCUAACGCUGCCCCAGGAGGACAAAUCAAUGAACUCCUUCAUGAUUCAGACAUCAUUUUGGGGACUGGCGCUCCAUAAAAUGCAAUUUAUUGAAAUGAAAGAUUUAAUGAUCGAAAUUAAGAGUUUUAUCCAAAAUCUCGAGGUUGUUUUCUAGCAUUUAUUUUGUAUGUUUGCAAGUCAUGUUUUCCCCUCCUAGAAACGUGUACAGAUUUGGUAAAGCCUGGCCUAAGAGUUGGUGACUGAAGGGGAAGGUUUGCCCAUACUUCAUUUAGACAAGGACACAGACUGGGGUGUGGUGUCAGUCUGUCUGGCAGGUCCAGGUUGGCAGAAGGACAGUGUUGUGUCAUACCUGUCCCCCUGCCUGUAGAUAAAGUGCUCUCUCUACCACACACUAGCAGAACUAAACUCACUGUGAUCUGCAGUCAUUAAGUAAACAUUCAAAGGCCUUUGCAAAGACAUGUUGAUGUGCAUGAAGUUGCAGAUUUUAGUUGUUGUUGUUUCUGUCAUAUCUGGCGCUGGGACAACAGUGCUGUGGUUAUUCCCCUGGCUGGGAUGUACGCUGGGGAGGUAACAGACUGGCUGGGCUGUACACUGGGGAGGUAACAGACUGGCUGGGAUGUAGACUGGGGAGGUAACAGACUGGCUGGGCUGUACACUGGGGAGGUAACAGACUGGCUGGGAUGUACGCUGGGGAGGUAACAGACUGGCUGGGAUGUACGCUGGGGAGGUAACAGACUGGCUGGGAUGUACGCUGGGGAGGUAACAGACUGGCUGGGAUGUACACUGGGGAGGUAACAGACUGGCUGGGAUGUACACUGGGGAGGUAACAGACUGGCUGGGAUGUAACUGGGGAGGUAACAG